CUCCGUUCAGAGCAGCAGGAGGAGGAAGGUGGAGCUGAGGCAGACUAACUCCACCCUGACAUCAAGAAGAUGGAGGAAGAGGAUGGAGCAGGAUCUGCAGCAUCCAGCUGUUUGUCUGUGAGGAGUGACUGGUCCAGAGAAGAACCUCCAGUGUUCACUAAUGAACCUGCAGCAACAAUAGCUUCUGCACAGUGUGGAGAAAGAUCC